rnacentral:rRNA from 1 species
CACGUAGCACCAAGCGUUGUCCGGAUUUAUUGGGCGUAAAGAGCUCGUAGGCGGUUCAGUAAGUCGGGUGUGAAAACUCUGGGCUUAACCCAGAAACGCCACCCGAUACUGCUGUGACUUGAGUACGGUAGGGGAGCAGGGAAUUCCUGGUGUAGCGGUGAAAUGCGCAGAUAUCAGGAGGAACACCGGUGGCGAAGGCGGCAUCCUGGACCAACACUGACGCUGAGUGAGCGAAAGCCAGGGGAGCAAACGGG